AUUGAACGCUGGCGGCAGGCCUAACACAUGCAAGUCGAGCGGAUGAAGGGAGCUUGCUCCUGGAUUCAGCGGCGGACGGGUGAGUAAUGCCUAGGAAUCUGCCUGGUAGUGGGUGAUAACGUCCGGAAACGGGCGCUAAUACCGCAUACGUCCUGAGGGAGAAAGUGGGGGAUCUUCGGACCUCACGCUAUCAUAUGAGCCUAGGUCGGAUUAGCUAGUUGGUGGGGUAAAGGCCUACCAAGGCGACGAUCCGUAACUGGUCUGAGAGGAUGAUCAGUCACACUGGAACUGAGACACGGUCCAGACUCCUACGGGAGGCAGCAGUGGGGAAUAUUGGACAAUGGGCGCAAGCCUGAUCCAGCCAUGCCGCGUGUGUGAAGAAGGUCUUCGGAUUGUAAAGCACUUUAAGUUGGGAGGAAGGGCAGUAAGUUAAUACCUUGCUGUUUUGACGUUACCAACAGAAUAAGCACCGGCUAACUUCGUG
rnacentral:rRNA from 1 species